CACGUAGGGGCGAGCGUUGUCCGGAAUUACUGGGCGUAAAGGGACGCGCAGGCUGUUAUGCGAGUCUGCUGUGAAAUGUACCGGCUCAACCGGUGCCUUGCGGCGGAUACUGCAUAGCUGGAGUACUGGAGAGGGAAGUGGAAUUCCCGGUGUAGCGGUGAAAUGCGUAGAUAUUGGGAGGAACACCGGUGGCGAAGGCGGCUUUCUGGCCAGUUACUGACGCUCAUGCGCGAAAGCUGGGGUAGCGAACCGGAUUAGAUACCCCGGUA
rnacentral:rRNA from 1 species